AGCGAACGCUGGCGGCGUGGUUUAGGCAUGCAAGUCGAACGGUCCCUCCCGAAAUGAAGAGUGAAGCUUCGGUUGAUCUUUGAUUUUUGGAUUUGGGACAGUGGCAAAAGGGUGAGUAACGCGUGGGCAAUCUUCCUCUAAGAUGGGUAUAACAUUCCGAAAGGAUUGCUAAUCCCCGAUGUGUCCCUUUGAAGGCAUCUUCAAAGGGUUAAAGAUGGCCUCUAUUUAUAUGCUGUCGCUUAGAGAUGAGCCCGCGUCCCAUCAGCUUGAUGGUAGGGUAACGGCCUACCAUGGCAUUUGACGGGUAGCUGGUCUGAGAGGAUGGUCAGCCACACUGGAACUGAGACACGGUCCAG
rnacentral:rRNA from 1 species